rnacentral:rRNA from 1 species
AGUGAACGCUGGCGGUAGGCCUAACACAUGCAAGUCGAACGGCAGCACAGUAAGAGCUUGCUCUUACGGGUGGCGAGUGGCGGACGGGUGAGGAAUACAUCGGAAUCUACUUUUUCGUGGGGGAUAACGUAGGGAAACUUACGCUAAUACCGCAUACGACCUACGGGUGAAAGCAGGGGAUCUUCGGACCUUGCGCGAUUGAAUGAGCCGAUGUCGGAUUAGCUAGUUGGCGGGGUAAAGGCCCACCAAGGCGACGAUCCGUAGCGGGUCUGAGAGGAUGAUCAGCCACACUGGAACUGAGACACGGUCCAGACUCCUACGGGAGGCAGCAGUGGGGAAUAUUGGACAAUGGGCGCAAGCCUGAUCCAGCCAUACCGCGUGAGUGAAGAAGGCCUUCGGGUUGUAGAGCCCUUUUGUUGGGAAAGAAAAGCAGCAGGUUAAUACCCCGCUGUUCUGACGGUACCCAAAGAAUAAGCACCGGCUAACUUCGUG